rnacentral:rRNA from 1 species
AGUGAACGCUGGCGGUAGGCCUAACACAUGCAAGUCGAACGGCAGCACAGUAAGAGCUUGCUCUCACGGGUGGCGAGUGGCGGACGGGUGCGGAAUACACCGGAAUCUACUUUUUCGUGGGGGAUAACGUAGGGAAACUUACGCUAAUACCGCAUACGACCUACGGGUGAAUGCAGGGGAUCUUCGUACCUUGCGCGAUUGAAAGAGCCGAUGUCGGUUUAGCUAGUUGGCGGGGUAAAGGCCCACCAAGGCAACGCUCCGUACCUGGUCUGAGAGGAUGUUCGGCCACACGGGAACAGAGCCACGGUCCAGACUCCUACGGGAGGCAGCAGUGGGGAAUACUGGACAAUGGGGGCAAGCCUGAUCCUGCCAGACCGCGUGGGUGAAGAAGGCGCCCGGGCUGUAAAGCCCUUUUCUCGGGAGCGAAAAGAAGCAUGUUAACAGGCCGCGGUUCUGACGGUACCAAAAGAAUAAGCCCCGGCUAACUUCGUG